GGCUCAUCCGAAAUGGGUAUGCUUUGUAGAUUAGAUCUUGGACUAGCUCUGAGCCCUGACCUUGCCAGCAACUUUGGCUUGGAUUUCUACAUGGAUGAGAUUCGGGGAGGAACGAGGCACGGAGAUUUACUUGCAUUAAUUCACCUUAAAAAAUGCAAACGGGUUUACUCGCCACAGCAACAACAGCUGCGGGUCCCGAACCUCCGUGGUGAAGGUGGAGGGAUCUUUUGUUCGUUUGUUAGUUUGCGUUUAGUAUGCAGCACAUGACUUUACAAUCAAGGAGCCCACAGUCUCAGCAUCGAAGGGUCCCGCCGAGCCGCAGUCUAAACAAGGGCCUAUCUCUGGAGGGCUCAUGGGCAAAUCAUUCCUGUUCACAGGCUUUGGGCCGACCUGCACAGCCUCUUCAGUGGGCCAGUGAGAACAUAUCCCCAGAACAUAUUACUGCCGGGGCCCCCACCUCUGUCUCUCUCACAUCCAGAGACUGCAAAAAGUGAUGAAGAAACAUACUAAAGCCACCAUCUUAACCAAAGUAGCAGCCAGAGAUUCACCUGAGAAAGAC